CCAAAAGUCUAGCCUUACACCCACCCCCGCACUCACCCUCAAACUAAAAAUCAAAAUAUUUUAGCAACCUAGUAAAGAAGAUUAAAAAACUUUUAAGAGCAAUAAACACGUACCGCAAGGGAAAGAUGAAAUAAAAUGAAAUAAAUCUCAAGCACAAAGAAAUAGAGAUUUCCCCUCGUACCUUUUGCAUCAUGGUUUAGCUAGUCCAAUUAGGCAAAAAGCCCUAAGCCCUUUAAGUCUAACCCCCCGAAACUAAGUGAGCUAUUCUAGGGCUGCUUAUGAGCUAACCCGUCUAUGUUGAAAAAUAGUGGGAAGACCCUAAAAUAGAGGUGAAAAGCCUAACGAACUUAGUUAUAGCUGGUUUCUCAGGAAAAGAAUUUUAGUCCAACCUAAAGUAUACUUCAUAUGCACAAAUUACCCCCUUGCUUUAGAGCAAUUCAAAUAAGGUACAGCCUAUUUGAUACAGGACCCAACCUUAACUAACGGGUAACAUUCAAUUUACAUCUACAAGUAGGCCUAAAAGCAGCCACCUUUUAAAAAGCGUCAGAGCUUACCACGUUUAUUCAAAUCCCUCAGCCCACAUAGACCCCUUCAACUGUACUGAGAACUUCUAUAACACUAUAGAACCUUUUAUGCUAAAACUAGUAACAAGAGUUAACCCCUCUCCACAAUGCAAGUAUAAGCCAGCAAGAACCCACCACUGGCAACUAACAGACCUAAACAAAAGUAGCAACUACACCAGAAAACUCUACUUUACUUACUGUUAACCUUACACCAGAGCAUUUCAAGAAAGAUUAAAAGAAAAAGAAGGAACUCGGCAAACAUUAGCCCCGCCUGUUUACCAAAAACAUCGCCUCUUGCCCAUAUAAGAGGUCCAGCCUGCCCAGUGACUCUUGUUCAACGGCCGCGGUAUCCUAACCGUGCAAAGGUAGCGUAAUCACUUGUCUUCUAAAUAAAGACCAGUAUGAAAGGCAUCACGAGGGCUAAACUGUCUCCUUUCCCUAAUCAGUGAACCUAAUCUCCCCGUGAAGAAGCGGGGAUUAUUAUAUAAGACGAGAAGACCCUAUGGAGCUUUAAACAUCACAACACCUGCCUUACACUUUUAUCUACCCAGGUAUACCCUCCUACAGCACACUGAUUGUAUGUUUUCGGUUGGGGUGACCGCGGAGAAAAACUAAUCCUCCGCAAUGAAAGGGAUCUUCCCUAAACAAUAAGCCACAACUUUAUGUAUCCACAAAUUGACAUUCAUUGACCCAAUACACUUGAUUAACGAACCAAGUUACCCUAGGGAUAACAGCGCAAUCCACUUCAAGAGCCCCUAUCGACAAGUGGGCUUACGACCUCGAUGUUGGAUCGGGGUAUCCUGGUGGUGCAGCCGCUACUAAAGGUUCGUUUGUUCAACGAUUAAAACCC
rnacentral:rRNA from 1 species